AUUGAACGCUGGCGGCAGGCCUAACACAUGCAAGUCGAGCGGAUGAAGGGAGCUUGCUCCUGGAUUCAGCGGCGGACGGGGGAGUAAUGCCUAGGAAUCUGCCUGGUAGUGGGGGAUAACGUCCGGAAACGGGCGCUAAUACCGCAUACGUCCUGAGGGAGAAAGUGGGGGAUCUUCGGACCUCACGCUAUCAGAUGAGCCUAGGUCGGAUUAGCUAGUUGGUGGGGUAAAGGCCUACCAAGGCGACGAUCCGUAACUGGUCUGAGAGGAUGAUCAGUCACACUGGAACUGAGACACGGUCCAGACUCCUACGGGAGGCAGCAGUGGGGAAUAUUGGACAAUGGGCGAAAGCCUGAUCCAGCCAUGCCGCGUGUGUGAAGAAGGUCUUCGGAUUGUAAAGCACUUUAAGUUGGGAGGAAGGGCAGUAAGUUAAUACCUUGCUGUUUUGACGGUACCAACAGAAUAAGCACCGGCUAACUUCGUG
rnacentral:rRNA from 1 species